rnacentral:lncRNA from 1 species
AGGAUCGUCCAAGGGUUGGCGAGACCUACUACGACAGCCGGUGCUUUCAGAAGUUGUAAAAUCCUACUCGGUACUAACCAUAUGUUGUACUUAUUUAAAACAUUAUUCAGCAACUCCUCUAUAACAAACUCUAGCUGACUUGAACUAAAUGAGCGCUUAUCGUCUUCCCAGGCAGUUCCACCCAAAGGGAGCACUUCUCUUACGGAUGUAGUUUCUCCUGAUGCCUACGAGACGUAUCGACAUAUUUUCUCUUCUGAUUUAGAUGAAUAUUUAUUAGGCCUCUGUUUUAACACAGCUCCCCAACCUUGUUGAGAUGCAUCUGUUUCAUUAAUAAUGAAGUAGUUAUUGUCUAAAGGCAGUUCCAAGGGUUUUAACCCUUUGACCCUUUCCUUUAUUAUUCUUACUAACCUUAUGUCUUCAGAAUUAAAAUAUCUUUGGCCAUUUUUUCUUAAUUUUGCAUAUAAGGGUCCUUAAGAAAUAUCUCCUCUUUGUUCUAAUAUUAUUAUUAUUUUUAUUUUGGG